AAACAUACUAUCAUAGUAAGUGUUUCAUUCUGAAAAGGGCUGGUUUCAUAUCACCGGUGUGAAAUCUGAAUUUAUGGUCAGGUGGUUACAGAAGGUUUCUCUGAGAAACUGACAUCUGAACAGAUACCUGAAAAAAAUGAGAGAGAACAACGUAUUCAAAGGUUCCACGGAGAAAACUGAAGGGCCAUCAUGAAGACUAGACUGGACUGAGUUAAAGGCAGAGCAGAAGGAGACCAAACUCAUCUUUAAAUUCCACGGACCAUCAUGAACAAGCCACAAAAGAACAGGAGAAUUUCCACAAGAGCCAUUAAAAAAAUUAACAAUAUCACUUUGAAACUAACACGAUGAGUUUAAAAAGGAGAUUGAAUAAUGUGGAUAAUGCCUUCUGCCUGCUAAAAACAUAUCUGUGUUCUUCUUCAAGUAUACAAUCUCAACAUUAUAGCUCCUUAACCCCAAGUCCUUAAAACUUCAGAAGAAUUGAUUUUGUAUAUGUCAUCCAAAGGUAUUAAAGACCAAGUUGAAAUAAAAAUCAGGUCAAAUGAAUUAUGGUAACAACUAUAGUUUGGAUCUAGAUUUUCAAUGAAUGAGGGUGGAAAGAGGUCCCUUAAGAUUCUCACCUCAGCUCACCAAAGUCUGAUACUGCCAGCUGACACCCAAGCUACUACUUCCCUGUACAAGUCUGGGAUGAGAGGAUGUAAAGCUUCACAGCUAUCCAUAAGAAAAAAUAAGUAAAUUUUGACCAAAUACACUUGAGUAGGAAUCUUUGGCCUAGGACAUAGUUUGCCAAGCUCUGUACAACAAGAAAAAUCCUCUCUAUAGAAAAUAUAGGAUUUUCAUGUAAAGAGGCAAUCCGUGAAUGUGGCCAAAACAGGUAAAAAACUAUUAAGGAGAUGUAUCAGUCAAUUAAUAACAACAAUACAUUAUAAUAAACUGUCU